ensembl:misc_RNA Metazoa_SRP Metazoan signal recognition particle RNA
GCCGGGUGUGGUGGCUCACACCUGUAAUCCCAGCACUUUGGGAGGUUGAGGUGGGUGGAUCACUUGAGGUCAGGAGAUCGAGACCUGCCUGACCAACAUGGUGAAACCCCAUCUCUA